AUUGAACGCUGGCGGCAUGCCUUACACAUGCAAGUCGAACGGCAGCACGGGAGCUUGCUCCUGGUGGCGAGUGGCGAACGGGUGAGUAAUACAUCGGAACGUACCCUGAAGUGGGGGAUAACGUAGCGAAAGUUACGCUAAUACCGCAUAUUCUGUGAGCAGGAAAGAGGGGGAUCGCAAGACCUCUUGCUUUAGGAGCGGCCGAUGUCGGAUUAGCUAGUUGGUGAGGUAAAGGCUCACCAAGGCGACGAUCCGUAGCGGGUCUGAGGAGGAUGAUCCGCCACACGUGGGGACUGAAGACGACGGCCCAGACUCCGUACGGGAGGCAGCAGGUGGGGUAAUUUUGGAACAAGUGGGCG
rnacentral:rRNA from 1 species